rnacentral:rRNA from 1 species
GACGAACCGUGCGAACGUUGUUCGGAAUCACUGGGCUUAAAGGGCGCGUAGGCGGCCAUGUUAGUCGGGGGUGAAAUCUUUCGGCCCAACCGGAAAAGCGCCUUCGAUACUGCAUGGCUCGAGCGAGGUAGGGGCAGGGGGAACUUCCGGUGGAGCGGUGAAAUGCGUUGAUAUCGGAAGGAACGCCGGCGGCGAAAGCGCCCUGCUUGACCUCACCUGACGCUGAGGCGCGAAAGCCA